GACGAGGGGUCCUAGCGUUGUUCGGAAUCACUGGGCGUAAAGAGUUCGUAGGCGGCUUCGUAAGUCGGGUGUGAAAUCCCACGGCUCAACCGUGGAAGUGCAUUCGAAACUGCAAAGCUUGAAUAUGGUAGAGGAGAGUAGAAUUGCUGGUGUAGUGGUGAAAUACGUAGAGAUCAGCAGGAAUACCGGUGGCGAAGGCGGCUCGUCUGGACCGAUAUGACGCUGAGACGCGAAAGCGUGG
rnacentral:rRNA from 1 species